AGAGUUUGAUCAUGGCUCAGAUUGAACGCUGGCGGCAGGCCUAACACAUGCAAGUCGAGCGGAAACGACACUAACAAUCCUUCGGGUGAUUUAAUGGGCGUCGAGCGGCGGACGGGUGAGUAAUGCCUAGGAAAUUGCCUUGAUGUGGGGGAUAACCAUUGGAAACGAUGGCUAAUACCGCAUAAUGCCUACGGGCCAAAGAGGGGGAUCUUCGGACCUCUCGCGUCAAGAUAUGCCUAGGUGGGAUUAGCUAGUUGGUGAGGUAAUGGCUCACCAAGGCGACGAUCCCUAGCUGGUCUGAGAGGAUGAUCAGCCACCCGGAAGC
rnacentral:rRNA from 1 species